UAUUAAGUUGGCUCGUUGCUUUAUUUAUUUAAACACUAAGGUAUACCGAUGUUGGCUAAGUCUAAACAUAAACUGAUGUGUUGUCUACUAUGUUCUACAAAUUAGUAAAGUAUGUACUGACUAAAGUCUAGUUACCCAAGCCCAGACUACAUUAAAUACACAUCAUGCGGGACCCAUGUUCAUCAAAUACUCCGUUUGAUUUGUUUGAAGUCUUUUCAGACGGAUAGAAGAAAUCAAGCAGCGUUGCUAACCGAGUUGUUUCUUAUAUGAAAACAUAGGCAAGACCGUUUCCUCCAGCGGUGGGUUGAUGCGCUCACGGAUGCUCGUGUCACCCAUGAAAUCCAGAGCAUCUGGGUCUCAUACUGGUCACAGUGCGAUGCGUCCCUCGGGCAGAAGCUGGCGUCGCGGCUCAAGAUUAAGCCGAACAUGUAAGAUGGACAAGGAGGAGGGAGGCAGUCGCUCGCCCGCCUCAGCUGGCGUCGAUCGACGGAGCCAAGGAGGGGUGCAGCAUGAACUGAAUCUGUCGUUGUGUGCGUGUAGCCUUGAAUAAAAAUGUGCAGCAGCGAAAUGAAUAUCAAAAUGUAAUACCGAUGAUGGUGGGGUGUCGUCAGCCGGCGUUGCCGGGUUCGUCUGUGAUACUUUGUCUGUGCAAAAGAGAGAAUAAUAAUAGACAAUAAUGUGAUUGGUUAA